rnacentral:rRNA from 1 species
GAUGAACGCUGGCGGCGUGCCUAAUACAUGCAAGUCGAACGAAACUUCUUUAUCACCGAGUGCUUGCACUCACCGAUAAAGAGUUGAGUGGCGAACGGGUGAGUAACACGUGGGCAACCUGCCCAAAAGAGGGGGAUAACACUUGGAAACAGGUGCUAAUACCGCAUAACCAUAGUUACCGCAUGGUAACUAUGUAAAAGGUGGCUAUACUACCGCUUUUGGAUGGGCCCGCGGCGCAUUAGCUAGUUGGUAGGGUAAAGGCUUACCAAGGCAAUGAUGCGUAGCCGAAUUGAGAGGUUGAUCGGCCACAUUGGGACUGAGACACGGCCCAAACUCCUACGGGAGGCAGCAGUAGGGAAUCUUCCACAAUGGGCGAAAGCCUGAUGGAGCAACGCCGCGUGGGUGAAGAAGGUCUUCGGAUCGUAAAACCCUGUUGUUAGGGAAGAAAGUGCGUGAGAGUAACUGUUCACGUUUCGACGGUAUCUAAACAGAAAGCCACGGCUAACUACGUG